rnacentral:rRNA from 1 species
UACGUAGGCAGCAAGCGUUGUUCGGAGUUACUGGGCGUAAAGGGUGUGUAGGCGGUUGUUUAAGUUUGGUGUGAAAUCUCCCGGCUCAACUGGGAGGGUGCGCCGAAUACUGAAUGACUAGAGUGCGGGAGAGGAAAGUGGAAUUCCUGGUGUAGCGGUGAAAUGCGUAGAUAUCAGGAGGAACGCCGGUGGUGUAGACGGCUUUCUGGACCGUAACUGACGCUGAGACACGAAAGCGUGGGUAGCAAACAGG